CAGGUGGUCAAGGGCCCGCUGGCCUCCAAAGUGCCAGAAGCAGGGCUGGGCCAGCCGGCCAGAGUUCAGGGUUCUGGCCCUUGGACUUGCAGCGGACACUCGGCUGCUUGGGAAAACCGCGCGGCUCUGACCUUUCAGCAAAGGGGUGGAGCGGUCAAGGCCUUGAGCCCAAAGGCGAGGCCUUUCUGCGACCGCCAGGUUGUGCCAACAGAGGGCGGACUACGUGGUUCCCUGCUCCACGCAGUCCCAGUUCCCUGACCUGUGGUCCGCACCCCUCCGCCGCGCCCACUGGAUGCCGACCCUUGGGGACCCAGGAGCACACGCAGUGGGCGUUCCCAGCCGCCACGGCGACCCCCGAGAGGACAACGGGGAAGCCCUCCCCCACCCCCGCCUGGGGCCGACCCCCGCCCCGCGCCGCCCCGCCCCUGCCAUGCUCCCGGUGCCUUCCCAGCCGCAGUGGGGAUCCCCGGAGCACAACUGGGACCGCCCCCCAUCCCCGCCACGACCCGAUUCCCGACCCGCGCCGCCCGGCUUCGCCCCGCCCCGGGCGCGCUCCCGGUGCGCUGCCCACCUUCACCACGGGCUCCCGGUGAGCCCCGCCCCCACGCCCGGUUCCAGGAGAGCCUCUGGGACCUCGCUCCCGCCGCCCGGUGAAACGGGAGGACAAUCCAUCCAGCCCACAGAGGCAAUCCAAGCUGUCUAGAAUUCAGGGAUCCAACGAGGGCUACGGAAAGGAAAGACGACCUGACCUAGGAGGGCCAUGAUAUUCUAUAGAACCGGACAAAGUUGGUUUCCAAGGAAACUUGAUUCCUUGGAACUCGGAAAGCUGGUUCUUUUCAUAUGCAAUUCCAAACCCUGAGCUCCUUCCCAAAGCCUGCCUGGCCGCCAGCCCCACCCCCCACUCCCCAGAAAAAACGGCUCAAAGAAAUCUUUUCCAUCUCAGGCGGAAAACUGGAAGAUGUCUUGUCUUGUCUGUCUGGAUUGAUGUCUGUGUCAGUGUGAGCCUUGUGAUUUUUGAUAAUAGUGCUCAAGUUCUGAGUUCUUAUUUCAAUGGUCUCAAGACAAGGCAGCCCUUGCAAACCCAACUGCUUCCAAUACAAGAAAACUUUGACCUCAGGGAAUGUCAGAGUCCCGUGAACUGGGAACUAGUCAAUAUGAAAUAUCUAGUAGUUUUGGUUUUGCUCCUCUACUGUAGACAUGUCUAAGAGUCAUCAACAUGAAGCACAAAAUGUUCAUAGUGCCUCGGUUUGUUCUAAGGUAAAAAUUGCUAUAUCGUUCUAUCUGUCACAAGCUUGUCAACGAGAAAGUACCUCGAAAGAACAGGAACAAAACGAAAAAUUAAAUGUGAUAUGAGCUUUUAGAUAAACUAUGAACACUAAUUACACUCGAAAAUAUCUGCCUAU
ensembl:lncRNA